rnacentral:pre_miRNA from 1 species
UUGAGCACGAUGGAGAAGCAGGGCAUGUGCACUACUAACUCAUGCUCGAAUGGGACAGCGGCCGGUCUGUUUUUGAGGUGGGAUUUUCACCGAGAGAAUCAACAUCUAUUAUAUGUACAUAAAAAAAAUUCUAUCGUGACUUUCCGUCAAAGGGGGUUUGGAUGGUAUGUGCAACAGUAGUAUUUUUGCACAUUUUAUGUGAUUCUCUGUGAUAAAUGAGUGAGUUUUUCAUGUGCCCCUCUUCUCCAUCAUGACCAC